rnacentral:ribozyme from 1 species
GUGAGAAUAGUAGUGUUUUUAUAGUAUUACCUAAACUAGCCACACCACAGUGACAGUCCUAAGCCUGUAUAAAUAGUGAAGGGGUA